GACGAACGCUGGCGGCGUGCUUAACACAUGCAAGUCGAACGGAAAGGCCCUGCUUUUGUGGGGUGCUCGAGGGGCGAACGGGUGAGUAACACGUGAGUAACCUCCCCUUGACUUUUGGCUAACUUCAAGCAACUGGGGCUACUACCGGCUAGGAGCUCCCCCUGCCUUGCGGGGGUUGGCCAUCUUCGGCGGUUGGGGAUGGACUCGCGGCUUAUCCGCUUGUUGGUGGGGGAGUGGCUGACCCCGGCUUCCACGGGGAGCCGGCCGGAGAGGGUGACCGGGCACAGUGGGACUGAGAUACGGGCCGGAGUACUGCGGGAGGCAGCAGUGGGGGAGAUGGCACGAUGGGCGGAAGCCGGGUGCAGCAAGGCGGCGUGCGGGAUGACGGCCUGCGGGUGGUAAACCGCGUUCGCCUGUGAGGGAGCGGGGGUGACGGUAAUGGGUAAAGAAGCACCGGCUAACUACGUG
rnacentral:rRNA from 1 species